AACGAACGCUAGCGGCAGGCUUAACACAUGCAAGUCGAGCGCCCCUCACGGGGAGCGGCAGACGGGUGAGUAACGCGUGGGAAUCUACCCAACCCUGCGGAAUAGCUCCGGGAAACUGGAAUUAAUACCGCAUACGCCCUACGGGGGAAAGAUUUAUCGGGGAUGGAUGAGCCCGCGUUGGAUUAGCUAGUUGGUGGGGU
rnacentral:rRNA from 1 species